UACAGAGGGUGCAAGCGUUAAUCGGAAUUACUGGGCGUAAGGCGUGCGUAGACGGUAGCGUAAGUCGGGUGUGAAAGCCCCGGGCUCAACCUGGGAAUUGCAUUCGAGACUGCUCUGCUAGGGUGCGGAAGAGGGUUGCGGAAUUCCCGGUGUAGAGGUGAAAUUCGUAGAUAUCGGGAGGAACACCAGUGGCGAAGGCGGCAACCUGGGCCAAUAUUGACGCUGAGGUGCGAAAGCGUGGGGAGCAAACAGG
rnacentral:rRNA from 1 species